CUGCCAGUAGUCAUAUGCUUGUCUCAAAGAUUAAGCCAUGCAUGUCUAAGUAUAAGCAAUUUGUACUGUGAAACUGCGAAUGGCUCAUUAAAUCAGUUAUCGUUUAUUUGAUAGUACCUUACUACAUGGAUACCUGUGGUAAUUCUAGAGCUAAUACAUGCUAAAAACCUCGACUUCGGAAGGGGUGUAUUUAUUAGAUAAAAAACCAAUGCCCUUCGGGGCUCCUUGGUGAAUCAUAAUAACUUAGCGAAUCGCAUGGCCUUGCGCCGGCGAUGGUUCAUUCAAAUUUCUGCCCUAUCAACUUUCGAUGGUAGGAUAGUGGCCUACCAUGGUGGCAACGGGUAACGGGGAAUUAGGGUUCGAUUCCGGAGAGGGAGCCUGAGAAACGGCUACCACAUCCAAGGAAGGCAGCAGGCGCGCAAAUUACCCAAUCCCGAUACGGGGAGGUAGUGACAAUAAAUACUGAUACGGGGCUCUUUUGGGUCUCGUAAUUGGAAUGAGUACAAUCUAAAUCCCUUAACGAGGAACAAUUGGAGGGCAAGUCUGGUGCCAGCAGCCGCGGUAAUUCCAGCUCCAAUAGCGUAUAUUAAAGUUGUUGCAGUUAAAAAGCUCGUAGUUGAACCUUGGGUCUGGCUGGCCGGUCCGCCUCACCGCGAGUACUGGUCCGGCUGGACCUUUCCUUCUGGGGAACCUCAUGGCCUUCACUGGCUGUGGGGGGAACCAGGACUUUUACUGUGAAAAAAUUAGAGUGUUCAAAGCAGGCAGCUCGCCUGAAUAAUGGUGCAUGGAAUAAUGGAAUAGGACCUCGGUUCUAUUUUGUUGGUUUUCGGAACUUGAGGUAAUGAUUAAGAGGGACAGACGGGGGCAUUCGUAUUACGGUGUUAGAGGUGAAAUUCUUGGAUCGCCGUAAGACGAACUACUGCGAAAGCAUUUGCCAAGAAUGUUUUCAUUAAUCAAGAUCGAAAGUCAGAGGUUCGAAGACGAUCAGAUACCGUCGUAGUUCUGACCAUAAACGAUGCCAACUAGCGAUCCGCCGGAGUUGCUUCAAUGACUCGGCGGGCAGCUUACGGGAAACCAAAGUUUUUGGGUUCCGGGGGAAGUAUGGUUGCAAAGCUGAAACUUAAAGGAAUUGACGGAAGGGCACCACCAGGAGUGGAGCCUGCGGCUUAAUUUGACUCAACACGGGAAACCUCACCCGGCCCGGACACGGACAGGAUUGACAGAUUGAUAGCUCUUUCUCGAUUCCGUGGGUGGUGGUGCAUGGCCGUUCUUAGUUGGUGGAGCGAUUUGUCUGGUUAAUUCCGAUAACGAACGAGACUCUGGCAUGCUAACUAGUUACGCGACCCCCGAGCGGUCGGCGUCCCCCAACUUCUUAGAGGGACAAGUGGCGUUCAGCCACCCGAGAUUGAGCAAUAACAGGUCUGUGAUGCCCUUAGAUGUCCGGGGCUGCACGCGCGCUACACUGACUGGCUCAGCGUGUGCCUACCCUACGCCGGCAGGCGCGGGUAACCCGUU
rnacentral:rRNA from 1 species